rnacentral:rRNA from 1 species
GUAAGCUACUAAGGGCAUACGGUGAAUGCCUUGGUGUCAAAUGCUGAUGAAGGACGUGGUACACUGCGAUAAGCCCCGAGGAGUCGUGUGCAGACGUUAUAUCCGGGGAUGUCCGAAUGGGGAAACCCACCAGGGGUUAAUGCCCUGGUACUGUUAUCUGAACACAUAGGGUAACAGAGGUAACGAGGUGAACUGAAACAUCUUAGUAACCUCAGGAAAAGAAACAAUUCCCUCAGUAGUGGCGAGCGAAAGGGGACCAGCCCAAACCGUUGUCUAUAAGGCGGCGGGGUUGUAGGACUUGCAUAUAGGAGUUACAAAACUGUCUGGUAGUAAAACCAAUCUGGAAAGAUAGGCCAAAGAGGGUGACAGCCCCGUAUACGAAAUCGGACAGACUCCUGCAAGAAUCCUGAGUACGGCGGGGCACGUGAAACCCUGUCGGAAUCCGGGAAGGCCACUUCCCAAGGCUAAAUACAUUUGACAACCGAUAGUGAACAAGUACUGUGAAGGAAAGGUGAAAAGUCCCCCGGUAAGGGGAGUGAAAUAGAACCUGAAACCGUAUGCUUACAACCGGUCGGAGCACUAUGGCGCAAGCCAGUGUGACGGCGUGCCUUUUGGAGAAUGAGCCAGCGAGUUAAUCUCAGUGGCAAGGUUAAGUCAGAAACAGACGGAGCCGUAGCGAAAGCGAGUCUGAAUAGGGCGACAGAGUCGCUGGGAUUAGACACGAAACCAGGUGAGCUACCCAUGUGCAGGCUGAAGCGAGAUUAAUCUCUCGUGGAGGGCCGAACCCACUAAUGUUGCAAAAUUAGGGGAUGACCUGUGGGUAGAGGUGAUAUGCCAAACGAACUUGGAGAUAGCUUGUUCUCUCCGAAAUAGCUUUAGGGCUAGCGUCGCGUGUUUAGUAUAGGGGGUAGAGCACUGAAUGAGCUAGGGGGCGCAAGCUUACCAACCUCAAUCAAACUCCGAAUACCUAUACUUAAGAGCGCGGCAGUCGGACUAUGUGAGAUGAGUUUCAUAGUCGAGAGGGAAACAACCCAGACCGCCAGCUAAGGUCCUUAAAUCUAUGCUAAGUGGGAAACGAUGUGAGAGUGUUUAGACAGCCAGGAGGUUGGCUUAGAAGCAGCCACCCUUUAAAGAAUGCGUAAUAGCUCACUGGUCAAACGCUUUUGCGCGGAAAAUGUAUCGGGGCUAAAGCAUAGUACCGAAGCUACGGACUUUGGACAUUCUACGGAAUAGUCUGGAGUGGUAGGAGAGCGUUCUGUAGGAGAUACAAGCAUAACCGAAAGGAUAUGUGCGGCCUACAGAAGUGAGAAUGCUGACAUGAGUAGCGUAAAACAUGUGAGAAACAUGUUCCCCGUAAACCUAAGGUUUCCGACGGAAGGUUAAUCCGCGUCGGGUUAGUCGGGCCUUAGCCGAGGCCGAAAGGCGUAGGUGAUGGACAUCUGGUUAAUAUUCCAGAACCACUUAAAUGGAGUGAUGGAGGGACGUAAUUUGGUAGGUCAGCCCCUUAUUGGAUUGGGGUUCUCUACAACGUAGGGCAAAGACGAGUAUAGGUAAAUCCGUACUUUGAGCCUGAAUUGUAUGAGCGGUGCCUAAAGAGCCUGUAGUGAUUGAGCCAAGUUACCGAGAAAAUCUUCUAAACGUUGAAAUUUAAGUGCCCGUACCGCAAACCGACACUGGUAGGUGGGUAGAGUAUACCAAGGGGAUCGGGAGAACCCUCGUUAAGGAAUUCGGCAAAAUACCCCCGUAACUUCGGGAGAAGGGGGGCCUUUGCUGGUAAGCAAUAAAGCGAAGCUGGCGAAGGCCGCAGAGAAAUGGCUUCUUCAACUGUUUAACAAAAACACAGGUCUCUGCUAAGUCGAAAGACGAUGUAUAGGGGCUGACGCCUGCCCAGUGCUGGAAGGUUAAGGGGAGAGGUUAGGGGAAACCCAAAGCUUUGAACCGAAGCCCCAGUGAACGGCGGCCGUAACAAUAACGGUCCUAAGGUAGCGAAAUUCCUUGUCGGGUAAGUUCCGACC